UACGUAGGGUGCAAGCGUUAAUCGGAAUUACUGGGCGUAAAGCGUGCGCAGGCGGUGAUGUAAGACAGAUGUGAAAUCCCAGGGCUCAACCUUGGAACUGCAUUUGUGACUGCAUCGCUGGAGUGCGGCAGAGGGGGAUGGAAUUCCGCGUGUAGCAGUGAAAUGCGUAGAUAUGCGGAGGAACACCGAUGGCGAAGGCAAUCCCCUGGGCCUGCGCUGACGCUCAUGCACGAAAGCGUGGGGAGCAAACAGG
rnacentral:rRNA from 1 species